rnacentral:rRNA from 1 species
GAUGAACGCUGGCGGCGUGCCUAAUACAUGCAAGUCGAGCGAACAGACGAGGAGCUUGCUCCUCUGACGUUAGCGGCGGACGGGUGAGUAACACGUGGAUAACCUACCUAUAAGACUGGGAUAACUUCGGGAAACCGGAGCUAAUACCGGAUAAUAUAUUUAACCGCAUGGUUCAAUAGUGAAAGACGGUUUUGCUGUCACUUAUAGAUGGAUCCGCGCCGCAUUAGCUAGUUGGUAAGGUAACGGCUUACCAAGGGAACGAUGCGUAGCCGACCUGAGAGGGUGAUCGGCCACACUGGAACUGAGACACGGUCCAGACUCCUACGGGAGGCAGAAGUAGGGAAUCUUCCGCAAUGGGCGAAAGCUUGACGGAGCAACGCCGCGUGAGUGAUGAAGGUCUUCGGAUCGUAAAACUCUGUUAUUAGGGAAGAACAAAUGUGUAAGUAACUAUGCACGUCUUGACGGUACCUAAUCAGAAAGCCACGGCUAACUACGUG